UACAGUAGCCUAGAUGGGACAUUAUGUUCAUGCUGCUGUCUGUGACUCUGCAAUAGAUAUGCUCUGUACUUAUAGAGUAGAUGAUGGUCUGAUACAAAUUUGCAUAAAUGUGCAUUUUAAUGAGGGCACUGAUUUCACAAAAACUGCACGUAAACCUAGCACAUUCAGAUUGUUACCAAAUAAAUACCAUUAUGCAAAAAAUAUGUAUGUUGGUAAGAAAAUAAUACAGAUAGAAUGCAGCAAAUUGCAGUAUAACUCAGUUACCAGUAGGAAUUCUGACUAUUGACACAUACACCGAUCAGGCAUAACAUUGUGACCACCGACAGGUGAAGUGAAUAACACUGAUGAGCUCGUUACAGCCACCUGUCAGUCGGUGGGGUAUAUAAGGCAGGAAACCAACCGUGUCCAAGGAAGGAAGGACGGACAGAAGAUGAAAUGGUGACGGGUUGGACGGCCAGGCUCACCGGUGGCGGUGGCCAGAGGAUCCUGUUUCUGUUGGCUACACAAACAAGAUGCUCCAGAUCACCAGCAAUGGGGAAACUCGUGCUUGACAUUUCCCUGUUCAAGAACAAAUUGACACUUCACUUUCUCUAAGUUGUGGAUGGUGCACCCAAAGAGUACGUCAACUCCAGAACUCGGAGGCACCUGGCGC